GAACUCAGUAUGUAGACCAGGCUGGCCUCAAACUCACAGAGAACUGCCUGCCUCUGCCUCUGCCUCCUGAGUGCUAGGAU
rnacentral:miRNA from 1 species